AAAACACUGAGAUCUCUAUUUAGCACGGAGCAGAAGCGCCAUGGCUUCGUGCUGUUCAUUGAGCUUCUCAACAGUCUCUUCAAAGCCUAACAAGCCUUACUCAUCACCAAUUUCUUCUUCUCUUGAGCUCCCCUUUACUUCCCAGUUGCCAUUUUCUAAAAAAUAUUCACUUUAUUCCAAUCAUACCCUUCUCCAAACUCAAUGCCGGAAAACCCAAUCACCGGAUUGUCCCAGUUUCUUGGUUGUGGGAUCUGCGAAAAAGCAAGAACCUUUGAGGGUAAUGAUAUCGGGAGCUCCUGCUUCUGGUAAAGGAACGCAAUGCGAGCUCAUUACCAAGAAGUACGAUUUGGUGCAUAUUGCUGCUGGAGAUUUAUUGAGGGCUGAAAUUGCUGCAGGCACUGAAAAUGGGAGGAGAGCAAAGGAGUAUAUGGAUAAAGGACAAUUGGUACCAAACGAGAUAGUUGUAACGAUGGUCAAAGAGCGGUUGAUGUGUCCAGACUCUCAAGAAAAGGGUUGGCUUUUAGAUGGAUAUCCUCGGAGCUUGUCUCAAGCAGUAGCUCUCAAAGAGUUCCAGCCAAACCUUUUCAUUCUUCUGGAAGUACCUGAAGAGAUACUUGUUGAGAGAGUGGUUGGCCGUAGACUAGAUCCUGUAACUGGGAGAAUAUACCAUUUGAAGUAUUCUCCGCCAGAGACCGAUGAAAUCGCUGCAAGGCUUACCCAGCGCUUUGAUGAUACAGAAGAAAAGGUGAAGCUGCGUCUGCACACUCACCGUCAAAAUGUGGAAUCAGUUCUCUCAAUGUACAAAGAUACUAUAUUCCAGGUGGACGGGAGCGUUUCCAAAGAGGAAGUAUUUGCUCAAAUUGAUGGUGCAUUAACUCAACUUCUUGAAGCAAAGGAGUGAAGAUUUGGAACCGUAAUGUCAUAGAGAUCAGGAAAAAUCUGCAGAAUGUACCAUGUAAUACUCAGGAGGAUCAUCGAAGACAAAAGAGUAACAUUGUUGGUUGCUAUCCCUCUUAUACAAAUGUAUGAAAUGUUUAUGUAUAUCGUAUUUGCUUCCAACUAUCUAUGUGGAUAUUCAUUGAAUCAGAUUCAAAGUUUACUACAAAACUUGUUUUGUUGUAAG
rnacentral:misc_RNA from 1 species